UGCUUCUUCCAUCAUAUGAGGACACAAUGAGAAGGUGCUGUGUACAAACAAGCAAGUGGAACCUCUAAAGACACUGAACAUUCUAAUGCCAUCAUGAAUUUACCACCACACAGAACCAUGCGCUCAGAGUUGAAGUAGGCAUCUAUAUCAUCCUCCCUCAAACUUGGAGAACAACAAGAAGAUGGAGCAGGAGGAAUAUACAAUCCAAGUGAAGAACAGAUCAUGACCAGGGAACACAAACUGUUUCUGGAGAACAUGCAAGCUGAAAAAAGCACAGAGGAGUGAAGAUUUCCCAAGGGGAAAUGUACGGCCUGGAGUUUAUAGGCGACAACAGAAAUAAACACUUCCAGAACUCACGGGUGAGAAUACAAACACAAACAGAGGCUUUCUGGCCUGAGUUCAACCCAGCAGCAUCACCAGCGUCAGAGCAUCUAGUCAGACUUCCUGCUCUAAGUCUCAGGUGUGAUAAUGAAGAAAAUGAGAACCUCUGUAAUCCACUAUCUCUUUCUCCAUAAGGCUGUGCCUCAAAACUAUGAGCAUGCCUUUGUUCGGAGCAGCCAUGGGUGUUGUUUUCUAAUUGGUCACCACAGUCUUCAGUGAUGGUUUCAACUCUUCCUACUUGAAAGACCACAGCAGAGAGAAGAAGCUAAGGAGAUGCAGCAGUGUAUGGCUCCCAGCCAGUCACAUGGUUACAGGGGGUGUUAAUACUGCAGCUUGCUACAUCGCUCAGCUGUGACACUCAGAGUUCUUCUGAGAUCCCUAGCCACGAUGAGGCAGGACAUUGUGGAGCUCCAUCUGAAAAAUAAUAAAAGAGAGGGAAUUGCUACGCACACUUUGCGUGACGGCAGUAUUUGAGGCAUAAACUUCAAGGAAAGUCGGUCUCCUGCCUCCGCAUUGUCGCCUGGCA